rnacentral:rRNA from 1 species
UACAGAGGUCUCAAGCGUUGUUCGGAUUCAUUGGGCGUAAAGGGUGUGUAGGUGGCGCCGUAAGUCGGGUGUGAAAUUUCGGAGCUUAACUCCGAAACUGCAUUCGAUACUGCGGUGCUUGAGGACUGGAGAGGAGACUGGAAUUCAUGGUGUAGCAGUGAAAUGCGUAGAGAUCAUGGAGGAAGACCAGUGGGCGAAGGCGGGUCUCUGGACAGUUCCUGACACUGGAGACACGAAGGCCAGGGGAGCAAACGGG